CCUACGGGGGGCAGCAGUGAGGGAUAUUGGUCAAUGGGGGAGACCCUGAACCAGCAACGCCGCGUGAGGGAAGACGGCUUUCGGAUUGUAAACCUCUGUCCUCUGUGAAGAUGAUGACGGUAGCAGAGGAGGAAGCUCCGGCUAACUACGUGCAAGCAGCCGCGGUAAUACGUAGGGAGCAAGCGUUGUCCGGAUUUACUGGGUGUAAAGGGUGCGUAGGCGGCUUUGCAAGUCAGAAGUGAAAGUCAUGGGCUUAACCCAAGAACUGCUUUUGAAACUGUAAAGCUUGAGUGGAGUAGAGGUAGGCGGAAUUCCCGGUGUAGCGGUGAAAUGCGUAGAGAUCGGGAGGAACACCAGUGGCGAAGGCGGCCUGCUGGGCUCUAACUGACGCUGAGGCACGAAAGUGUGGGUAUCGAACAGGAUUAGAUACCCGAGUAGUC
rnacentral:rRNA from 1 species